GGGGAAGUCCGGUGAGAGUCCGGCGCUGACCCGCAACGGUAGGCGGAACCCCGUUCCGCGAGCCCGAUCACCC
rnacentral:ncRNA from 1 species